GGUUAAGCGACUAAGCGUACACGGUGGAUGCCUUGGCAGUCAGAGGCGAUGAAGGACGUGCUAAUCUGCGAUAAGCGUCGGUAAGGUGAUAUGAACCGUUAUAACCGGCGAUUUCCGAAUGGGGAAACCCAGUGUGUUUCGACACACUAUCAUUAACUGAAUCCAUAGGUUAAUGAGGCGAACCGGGGGAACUGAAACAUCUAAGUACCCCGAGGAAAAGAAAUCAACCGAGAUUCCCCCAGUAGCGGCGAGCGAACGGGGAGCAGCCCAGAGCCUGAAUCAGUGUGUGUGUUAGUGGAAGCGUCUGGAAAGGCGCGCGAUACAGGGUGACAGCCCCGUACACAAAAAUGCACAUGCUGUGAGCUCGAUGAGUAGGGCGGGACACGUGGUAUCCUGUCUGAAUAUGGGGGGACCAUCCUCCAAGGCUAAAUACUCCUGACUGACCGAUAGUGAACCAGUACCGUGAGGGAAAGGCGAAAAGAACCCCGGCGAGGGGAGUGAAAAAGAACCUGAAACCGUGUACGUACAAGCAGUGGGAGCACGCUUAGGCGUGUGACUGCGUACCUUUUGUAUAAUGGGUCAGCGACUUAUAUUCUGUAGCAAGGUUAACCGAAUAGGGGAGCCGAAGGGAAACCGAGUCUUAACUGGGCGUUAAGUUGCAGGGUAUAGACCCGAAACCCGGUGAUCUAGCCAUGGGCAGGUUGAAGGUUGGGUAACACUAACUGGAGGACCGAACCGACUAAUGUUGAAAAAUUAGCGGAUGACUUGUGGCUGGGGGUGAAAGGCCAAUCAAACCGGGAGAUAGCUGGUUCUCCCCGAAAGCUAUUUAGGUAGCGCCUCGUGAAUUCAUCUCCGGGGGUAGAGCACUGUUUCGGCAAGGGGGUCAUCCCGACUUACCAACCCGAUGCAAACUGCGAAUACCGGAGAAUGUUAUCACGGGAGACACACGGCGGGUGCUAACGUCCGUCGUGAAGAGGGAAACAACCCAGACCGCCAGCUAAGGUCCCAAAGUCAUGGUUAAGUGGGAAACGAUGUGGGAAGGCCCAGACAGCCAGGAUGUUGGCUUAGAAGCAGCCAUCAUUUAAAGAAAGCGUAAUAGCUCACUGGUCGAGUCGGCCUGCGCGGAAGAUGUAACGGGGCUAAACCAUG
rnacentral:rRNA from 1 species